UCACCAAGAAGACUUCAAGCAAGUCUACACCACGAUCUAUCUGAAGAUCAGGCAGGCAGGUGCAUCCACUGGUCCGUCACUGCGAGCCUGGGAGAGAAGAGCUCUACCUCAUCAACAGCAAGCCCAACUAGCUUUGCCCAGGCUGCCUCCACGGAGCAGAGCUUCCUUUCUUUCUGCUGCCUGCAUCUUCGCUUCUCUUGAUGAUAACAAAGCUAGCAGCUAGAACGUCGACUGCAGAGCAAGAUGUUGAUGAGAUGCUACUUGUCCAUGUCGAUUUGGCAGCAAGAGUUCUGAAGGGAAAGCUUCCGUCCUCUAUCUCAACCCGAGGCAAAUGUAACAGGAGAAGAAAAAGGAACGCCUACGCGUUGUUGAAGAAUCUUACGUUCUCCUCUGAAGAUUGGUGCGCCAGCGGCGGCACCCCAAGAUGGCCAGCUUCCAGGUCAUCAGGGUCGUCUUCACCGACUCCAAGCUGCAGCAUGGGUUCAUCCGCCGCUUCGCCGGCGGCUUGCUGCUGCUGCUGCUGCGGCUUCACGUACAGAUGCACCAAAACGCAAGAGAGAUCGGAUCAGAUCGUCAGCGGCCAUGGUGGUAACUGGUAAUAAAUAGCUUGCUCUGAGUUUUUGGCUGGGGGAGUGUUACUAGCAUGUGCUGAUGAUGAUCUUACGUUAUUAACGGCGGCCCCGUCGUCGUUUGAGAUGCUCCGGCCAGCGCUCUCCGUCUCCUGAGACGACCACCACCGACGCACGAAGAGGACAAAGGGGAACAAAGCCGCUAGAUUCGCCAUUCUCGAUCGAUCCUUUGGCUCGAAGGGGGCUCGAAGGGCGAUGUGGUAGUGGCCGUGCCCGUGGAAGGGGAUAUUAGCUAGGGUUUGCAAGAAGGAAGAAUGGUUAGCUUAGCACUGACGCUAAGGCACAUUCAAAGUGCAUUACGUGUUCGAUCUUCUCGCUUAUGCAGGCCGGCGCAGCUCUCGCGGCUCGCGCAGGACACCUGGCAGGCUGGCAGGCCUGCCACGCUAGGGGGCAGCUGGGCAGGCUCCGCCCGCCCGCACGCGGCGUGCCCACACCGCGCAGCGCACAGGCCGCGCAGGGCCGCCGCCGUGUCGCGUAGGCCGCCGGCGCAGGGCCGUCCAGGGGGGCAGUUGGAGGGCGCACGCGCACUGAGGUCUGAGGUCUGAGCAAGCGCCAUGAGCCAAAGCCAGUGAACCAAGAAACGGUUAAUCUCGCGGACGGAGAAUACGAACUGGUGCCCGCAAACUCUCGUGUUGAUCAGGAGGUUAUCCUAAACUGUGCUAACUUAUCUCAAGACCCGGGCCAAGCCCCAGAGGUUUUUCUACCUGACAGUUCCCAAGAAGGCAAGCCCUGGUGCAAAAUCCCACUAAUUUCUGAGUUUUUAUUCAUUUAGCUAUUUUACAAUGUGUUGUAUUAAGUUUAUUUCUGCAUUUAAGUUUUCUAGGCGUUGAUUGAAAACCUUAGAUGCAUGAUUCCUUGGUACCUAUGUGUGACACCCGGAUCAUUGUAUCGACUAGUUGCCAUGCUAAUUAGGUACGGUAGAAGUCGAGGGGUUUCCUGCCUCUCGCGAACAAAUAGGAAUCUUACUGACUUUAAAUUCCUGCUGAAAUAUAAGGACAACGGGCGGGGUUGUGUAGUUGUGAUACCCCGCUGGUGUAUGAAAAAUGGCUAAGGUCGCGGUGUGUGGCUCAUUUCGUUAAGUGUUUGAAAGUACUAGCCA